rnacentral:rRNA from 1 species
UCGAACGGAGCUUAGAGAGCUUGCUUUUUAAGCUUAGUGGCGAACGGGUGAGUAACGCGUGAGUAACCUGCGCUAGAGUGGGGGACAACAGUUGGAAACGACUGCUAAUACCGCAUAAGCCCACGGUACCGCAUGGUACUGAGGGAAAAGGAUUUAUUCGCUUUAGGAUGGACUCGCGUCCAAUUAGCUAGUUGGUGAGGUAACGGCCCACCAAGGCGACGAUUGGUAGCCGGACUGAGAGGUUGAACGGCCACAUUGGGACUGAGACACGGCCCAGACUCCUACGGGAGGCAGCAGUGGGGGAUAUUGCACAAUGGGGGAAACCCUGAUGCAGCGACGCCGCGUGGAGGAAGAAGGUUUUCGGAUUGUAAACUCCUGUCGUUAGGGACGAUAAUGACGGUACCUAACAAGAAAGCACCGGCUAACUACGUGCCAGCAGCCGCGGUAAAACGUAGGGUGCAAGCGUUGUCCGGAAUUACUGGGUGUAAAGGGAGCGCAGGCGGGAAGACAAGUUGGAAGUGAAAACCAUGGGCUCAACCCAUGAAUUGCUUUCAAAACUGUUUUUCUUGAGUAGUGCAGAGGUAGAUGGAAUUCCCGGUGUAGCGGUGGAAUGCGUAGAUAUCGGGAGGAACACCAGUGGCGAAGGCGG